rnacentral:rRNA from 1 species
UACGUAGGGUGCAAGCGUUGUCCGGAAUUAUUGGGCGUAAAGAGCUCGUAGGCGGUCUGUCGCGUCUGCUGUGAAAACUCAGGGCUUAACCCUGAGCUUGCAGUGGGUACGGGCAGACUAGAGUGCGGUAGGGGAGACUGGAAUUCCUGGUGUAGCGGUGAAAUGCGCAGAUAGUCAGGAGGAACACCGGUGGCGAAGGC